CACGUAGGCGGAUAUUUAAGUCAGGGGUGAAAUCCCAGAGCUCAACUCUGGAACUGCCUUUGAUACUGGGUAUCUUGAGUAUGGAAGAGGUAAGUGGAAUUCCGAGUGUAGAGGUAGAAAUUCGUAGAUAUUCGGAGGAACACCAGUGGCGAAGGCGGCUUACUGGUCCAUUACUGACGCUGAGGUGCGAAAGCGUGGGGAGCAAACA
rnacentral:rRNA from 1 species